AUGUUUUGUGGAAAGAUGGAUGAACUUAUGAAAUUGUUUGCUACUAAAAAUACUCCUCUUGAUCCCAAUGAUAUGCCUUUGUCUACUUUGAUUGAGAAUAAUAAUGAAUCUAUGGAUGUGAAUUUUGUUGGUAGGAAUAGUUUCGGUAACAAUGCUUAUAGAGGAAACUUUAAUGCUAGACCGUUCCCUAGUAAUUCCUCUAAUAAUUAUGGAAAUUCCUACAAUAAUUCUUAUGGUAAUUUUAAUAAUAUGCCCUCUGAUUUUGAGAAUAGUGUGAAAGAAUUUAUGAUUUCUCAAAAGAAUUUUAAUGCUUUGCUUGAAGAAAAAUUGCUCAAAGUUGAUGAUUUGGCUAGGAACGUUGAUAGACUUUUGCUUGAUGUUGAUUCUCUUAAACUUAGAUUUUCUCCUCCUAAGCAUGAUAUCAAUGAGUCUCUCAAAGCAAUGAGAAUUUCCAUUGAUGAGUGCAAGGAAAGAACCGCUAGAUUAUGUGCUAAGAAAGAUAGCUUUGUAAAGGCGUGUUCUUCUAGUUUCCAUGAAAAUAAUGAUGAAGAUCUCAAAGUUAUUGAUGUGUCCCCUGUUAGAUCUUUGUUUUGCAAUAUGAAUCUUGAUAAUUAUGGGACUGAAGAUGAGUCAACUUUACCUAGAAGGCGUCCCAAGAAUUCAGAGUUUUUAGAUCUUGAUGCUAAAUUUGGUAAAAGUGGGAUUGGAGAGGUCAUGACUUUAAAUAGUAUUGAACCUACUAUCUCGGAUUUCAAGGAAUUUGAUUAUGAUAAUUGUUCUUUAGAAGGUUGUAUUUCCUUGUUGCAAUCCAUUGUUAAUUCUCCUCAUGCUUAUAGUCAAAAUAAAGCUUUUGCCAAACAUAUUGUUGAUGCCUUGAUGCAAUCUGAUGAUGAAAAACUUAAUUUGGAAGUUUCUAUACCUAGAAAACUUAAUGAUGAGUGGGAACCUACUAUAAAGAUUAGAAUUAAAGAUCAUGAGUGUUUUGCUUUGUGUGAUUUGGGUGCUAGUAUUUCCACUAUUCCGAAAACUUUAUGUGAUAUUCUAGGUUUCCAUGAUCUUGAUGAUUGCUCUUUAAAUUUGCACCUUGCGGAUUCCACCAUUAAAAAGCCAAUGGGAAGGAUCAAUGAUGUUCUCAUUGUUGCAAAUAUAAAUUUGGUGCCCGUAGAGUUUAUCGUUCUUGAUAUAGAUUGCAAUCUUGCUUGCCCUAUUAUUCUUGGUAGACCUUUCCUUAGAACGAUUGGCGCGAUUAUUGAUAUGAAGGAAGGGAAUAUUAGAUUCCAAUUCCCAUUAAAGAAAGGAAUGGAGCAAUUUCCCAAAAAGAAAGUCAAAUUACCUUAUGAAUCUAUCACGUGA
rnacentral:rRNA from 1 species